rnacentral:lncRNA from 1 species
GGUUGACAAGAAUGAACUUCUGAAUAUAAAAUAGUGAUCCAGGACAUAUUCUUGGGUCAUAUAAAUUUGAAGAGUACCGUAACAAAUUUUGAAGCAGUACAUCAUCAUUGAUAAAACACCGUGAACAAAAUGAAGCUGAUACGGAAAACCUCCUGACUGUGCGAACUGGGGCAUCGGGCCAAGGCUAAAGGUGUUGGGAGCGGCGUCCCUGAGCACCAACAAUCCCUUCCUUGUCCUGUGACAGUGCACAAAAUAGCGAUUUAGUUAAAUUUCACUACUUGAGGUAGUCUAGCCUGCCAACUUAACCAAUGCAGUAGCUGUCUUUACAAUGCCAAGUGAAGAAAAGGAAGUUUGCAAUACAUGAUUAUUUUCUCGAUUCUGGUCACAACAGUAAUAGACAUGACAAGAAUAUAUUCACUACAAAAGAAUUAUAUUCUGAUCAUAAGAAUUAUUUUAUGGAUGUGUGAUUUGAAACAGAAGAUAGGCACCUUCACUACAACAACCACAACAGUGAAAAGCAUAAUACAUUGAAGUGAAGUAUGAAGCAUACCGUGAAUCGUGUUGUUUCCAUCGUUACGGAGGAGGUGAUAGGUUUUCCCAUCAAGAACAAAGCGGGUGUUGGCGAUUCUGUUGGCUACACGCUCAACCGUCGCUCUGAAUGAAGCAGAGCCACGCUGAUGAAGAGACCAGCACACAAACACACAACGAUUUUGAAUUUAGGUGUGUUUGGACCUUUGAAUCAUUCAUGUAGCAUAGAUACAUAAUUAAAGCUGAUUGCAUAUUUUAACAUAUAUUACGGCCAGGAGCAACUUUCCACCUACUUUUUCGCCUCUGUAAUACUAUUUUUCUCAUGAAGCAGCGUGUACGUUUGUGUGUGUUCCAUACCAUCAUCCAAUAAACAGAGAAGCAGAAAGAGUAGAACAAUGUGUACUCAAACAGUGAAAACGGAGGAACUCGUGAUCUUACCAUAUAUUCAGCAGCAGUGUCAUACCCAAGGACAACAUCAGCCAAGUUCCGUACAUAAAAGAAAGGUUUCACCUCUUGAGCAACAAGACGCAAACAUGCAUACAUGCCCUUGGAAGCAAGAGAAAGGUAACCAUACCUUUGCUAUCAGGCACAAUGGCAGAGACGAGGGCAGCGCCCCAAUUGGUGACCUUGAUGGAGAAAUCCCCCUUCUUGUUCUUGAGUUCAUAGAAUCCGACCGCUGACUUCCGUGCAGCAUUGGCGUUGCUAGCAAGUGCAAGGCACAGCAGCAACGCAAUAGGAAGAAGUGCAGCUCUGGCCAUCAUUGGCUUGUCGCACAGGGACGUUGCACAACACUACUAAUGGCAGAGUGGUUUACUGGUUUGCACGUUGCAAAGGGCAGAGAAGAGGUCUGGUUAGUUGGCUACUCGAGCAUGCAUGGAAAUGCUGGUCAAGUAGAUCAAUUGAGAUUGCUAGCACAACAUCAUAAAGAAUAAUUACAACUAAAUAAUUCAGACAUCAGCACAUGUGCUCACACGUUAGGCUGUCAGAGAAUGUUGUAUUCACCGCUCUAUGUAGUAGUAGUGUAGUACCCGUGGUUGCAGCUGAUGACAGUGCAGCAUCUCAAACGAUUUAACCUGUUUCUCGUACAACAAGCCAAAAAAGAUUGUCCCCGCUAUAAAAUCUGGCAGUAAUCUCGAACUGGUGAGAGUUCAGCUCAGGUCGGAUUUAACAACGUAGUUUGGAAGGAUGCGAGUAGUAAUGCAUAGGCGUUAAAAACCUGUGUUGUGGCGAAAGCUGCAUCGUUCUGACUUUUAAUUAAGCUGCAGCAGUUUUUGCUCCGCAUCAUUCUGGAAAAUAUAAAGCAAAACUCUGAAAGCUCAUGACAGCUUGGCAAGUCAUAAUUGCGGAAAAGGAGAAAAGGUUCUUUUAUCAUGUAAGGAGCGGAUUCAAGUAGAAGAAGCAGGAGAUACCGAACAGAAGAAUGACAAAGAUGUGAUGUAAAUUGCAAGUAUGCAGAUCCUGACUCCUUAGUGACGAACGUCACGAACGAGCCAACCAGGCAUGCUCCUGACAGGCAGGUAAUGCACGUUCCUCUCAUCGAGAAACUUGAGAGGUAACUUCUGAUCAUGGCCUUCGAGUUCUACAUAUUUUCUUCAUUUGUCUAGAUAUGGAACAAUGUACUGUAGAGAUCUGUUUUGCAGGGAUGAAUCGUUGCACACCGCAAGAACUUGCUUCGUCAGAGGGUCAGGAAGACGAGAAAAUUCCCACAACAGUGAGGCCAGGGAGGCAGAAACCCGACGAAGAGCACUCGAUCCACACACCCACAAUUCCUGCCCCCACAGCCAUUGGCUAGGAACUAAACUAACAACUCCUCUCCUGCCCCUGCUAAUUACCAAGCCCCCUCUGGCCUCAACCACACCAAGCUCUACCACAAAAAGGAAUGCCAAUAUGCCAUGUCGGAGAGGGAAAGGGGGAGGAAGAAUAGGAGGAGCUUACCGGCAACAAGACCCGGCAGAGCGGAGUGGAGGGGAGGNGACAGUCCCCCUUUAAUAAUAGAGAUUUUUAAAAUCCCGCGAAUGAAAGAGCCCUAAAAUGGGUGGUUAAGGUUGACAUGCAUGGCACCAAUUCCAUUGUCCUUUUGGUGUAAACUACCACGACUGAUUCAUAUUUUGGUGGAACAACAUGCAUGAUUAGCAAUGGAGACAGAUGUAAUUUGAAAUGGUGCACGUCUUAAAUAAGCACCCUGAUUGACGAAAAAUGAUUAGCUGCCAAAGUGAUCAAACCUGCUUAUUAUAUUGAUUUGCUUAUCCUUUCACUGAUCAAAGAUCCCAUCUGCAUCCGAAUGAAACGAUAUUGCAAGAAGAUCUAUACGCUAGCUUAUAGGCCAAUCAAUUCAUCGUUGUGCUAAUCAUAUGUGAUGCAUGCACCAAGCCGUGUUUUGUCAUGUGCUCAAGCUAGAUGCUCUACGUGUCAUGUACCCAUGCUAAGUACUCCAUCCGUUUCUAAAUACUAUAAGUCUACUAUAAGUCUUUUAAGACGUUCCGCUAGAGGGACUACAUACGGAUGUAUAUAGACAUACUUUAAAAUAUAGAUUCAUUCAUUUUGCUCCGUAUGUAGCCUUUAGUAAAAUCUCUAAAAAGACUUAUAUUUAGGAACAUGAAAAAUACGUAACUAAUGUCAUCUAAGAGCAUCUACAGACGAACUUAACAAAUAUAACCCCUUAAACAUUUGCGGAUGUGUCCAAUCAUUGACCGGGCGUGUUCCUUAUUUGUUUUCCGUGUAGCCAUGUUUUUUUUUCUUGUCCGAUCACUUGUACUUGAUGGUGGAAAGGAAGAGAAAAAAAAAUGAAUGAAGAAAAAGAAAAUGUGGUGUGGGAUAGGGUCGCGUCCUACGCGACGGGUUGACCGGACGCAUCUGUGAACUUUCAUUUCUUUCUAUAUUUGUCCUUAAUAUGAGGAUACGCGGACUGUUCGGACGUAUAUAGAUAAUAUAAAGGAUUGUUUGAUGCAUUUUUCUUCAUUCUUCUGUCCCGUCAUGGACGGGACGCAUCCGCGGUUGUGUGAGAGAUUGUUUGAUGCAUUCGGUUGUAAAUGCUCUAAUCGCCAUUUGUUUAACGUGACGUACUUAGUGGGUACCUUGCAAUGGUAAUGAUCAUGGUGUGGCAUAUGGGAGCAUGUGGCUCACGCAGUAGCGUACCCAUCUACGCAUGCACUAGAUUCGUAUAACUUGUAGCCAUUUUGAUACGAUAAGGAAAUAUGUUUUGUUUUCAGAUUAGCUGGGUACAAUGAGCAGAACCUUAGCUGUACAACCAUAGCGUCUCUAAUCUAAUCUAUAGUCUAACCCAAGAACAUGAUAUGCCAUGCGUUGGUGGGCUCAAUCAAAAAGUACUCCCUCCGUUCCAAAAUUCUUGUAUUAGAUUUGUUUAUAUAUGAAUGUAUCUAGUUAAGUUUUAGUAUUUAGAUACAUCUAUUUCUAGACAAAGCUGAGACAAGAAUUUUGAGACGGAGGGAGUACUUGAUAGUCUACGGUUAGUACAAUUAAGCAACAGAAAGGCCGGUGCAUGCAUCUGCCCUUCAAACGUAAUACGUCGGAGAAAAAAAGUAUAGUUAUCUAUGGAUUAAGAAUAGAACCUGAUCUAUACAUGUAACGGUGUAGCUUAACUAGAGAGGAGAUGAUGUGAUCACGCAGCCCAAAAGGGCACCAAUUUCGGUUGGAACCAGUCCACUGGCCACCAUGAUUGCCCCCGUCGCGGAGGUUCAGGGGCUGUGGUUCCGUUCCGCAUGUGCGAGACCAUGGCGAGGUGACACGUACCCACGUACGCGCCGUCCAGGUCUUGGCGCUUUUGAAGUUCACUACUAAGAUAUUGAUUAAAUGAGACUACAUUAAUAUAGAAAAAUGAUCCCAAAUAUAUAUGAAUUAAAUAGAUACAUAAUAUUUAUGAUGUUGCUCAAGUUAUAUUUUUAAAACUGAGAUGUCAUUGUAGGCAUGCUGCUGAAUUCUGCUCGGUUGUUUUUCUUGGUGUAUUCUCCUUAGCUAGAACAACCAUCUUCUUGGUGCAGAAUGACCCUACGUUGGUGGUUUACACAAAAAUUGGAUGGAAGGCUACAAGAAUUCAAACCAACCGGUUGACAAGAAUGAACUUCUGAAUAUAAAAUAGUGAUCCAGGACAUAUUCUUGGGUCAUAUAAAUUUGAAGAGUACCGUAACAAAUUUUGAAGCAGUACAUCAUCAUUGAUAAAACACCGUGAACAAAAUGAAGCUGAUACGGAAAACCUCCUGACUGUGCGAACUGGGGCAUCGGGCCAAGGCUAAAGGUGUUGGGAGCGGCGUCCCUGAGCACCAACAAUCCCUUCCUUGUCCUGUGACAGUGCACAAAAUAGCGAUUUAGUUAAAUUUCACUACUUGAGGUAGUCUAGCCUGCCAACUUAACCAAUGCAGUAGCUGUCUUUACAAUGCCAAGUGAAGAAAAGGAAGUUUGCAAUACAUGAUUAUUUUCUCGAUUCUGGUCACAACAGUAAUAGACAUGACAAGAAUAUAUUCACUACAAAAGAAUUAUAUUCUGAUCAUAAGAAUUAUUUUAUG